CCUCCCAGCAAUGGGCAAAGCAGUACCUUGUUAAUGGUGUUGUUCUUCUGUCAGUCAGGGGCAGAGCAGAUGGCAGUCCUUUGUUCAUCCUAGCUUGGUGCCUGGCUUGGUGGCCACAGCUGUCUUAUGCCUGGGACUCAUAA